rnacentral:rRNA from 1 species
UACGGAGGGUGCAAGCGUUAUCCGGAUUUACUGGGUUUAAAGGGUGCGUAGGUGGAUUGGUAAGUCAGUGGUGAAAUACUACAGCGCAACUGUGGAACUGCCAUUGAUACUAUCAAUCUUGAAUACAGUGGAGGCAGGCGGAAUGUGUCAUGUAGCGGUGAAAUGCUUAGAUAUGACACAGAACACCUAUUGCGAAGGCAGCUUGCUACACUGUCAUUGACACUGAGGCACGAAAGCGUGGGGAUCAAACAGG